rnacentral:piRNA from 1 species
UAAGUCAGGGCUUCCAUGUUGGUGUAGAGGU